GGUGGGAUAGCUCAGUUGGUAGAGCGAAGGACUGAAAAUCCUUGCGUCCCCAGUUCAAAUCUGGGUCUCACCAC
rnacentral:tRNA from 1 species